rnacentral:rRNA from 1 species
AACGAACGCUGGCGGCAUGCCUAACACAUGCAAGUCGAACGAGACCUUCGGGUCUAGUGGCGCACGGGUGCGUAACGCGUGGGAACCUGCCCUUAGGUUCGGAAUAACUCCCCGAAAGGGGUGCUAAUACCGGAUAAUGUCUUCGGACCAAAGAUUUAUCGCCUUUGGAUGGGCCCGCGUUGGAUUAGCUAGUUGGUAGGGUAAAAGCCUACCAAGGCGACGAUCCAUAGCUGGUCUGAGAGGAUGAUCAGCCACACUGGGACUGAGACACGGCCCAGACUCCUACGGGAGGCAGCAGAGGGGAAUAUUGGACAAUGGGCGAAAGCCUGAUCCAGCAAUGCCGCGUGAGUGAUGAAGGCCUUAGGGUUGUAAAGCUCUUUUACCCGGGAUGAUAAUGGCAGUACCGGGAGAAUAAGCUCCGGCUAACUCCGUG